rnacentral:tRNA from 1 species
GGGGGCGUAGCUCAGUUGGGAGAGCGUCGCGUUCGCAAUGCGAAGGUCGUCGGUUCGAUCCCGAUCGCCUCCACCA